UCUUUUCUUUUCUCACCUAAACGCAUGCACCCUCUCUUCCUUCUUUCUUUUUCUUCUCCUCUACUCCCCUUCGUUCCCCACACAGCAGCUCGCCUCUUCUUUUUCCCUUCCCUUUCUUCUUCCUCUCCUCUCACUCGCACUCACGCACACAUAGCAACCCAUGAGAGAGCCCGAAGUGCAGAAAUGCCAAGAGAGAGAACAGAUCGUGAGAGAGAGAUUUUGAAAUGGAUGCUGUCCAGCCAUGGGUAGAAGAAGAAAAGAUGGGGUUUUUGGCCAUGGAUGUCCGGUGAGGAUCGUGUUAUAAUUGGAGACUUCAAUGGGUUCUCCAAUGUAGAGUUCGAGUAACUAGAAUCUAGUGGAAGUUCGAGUUAUGGGUCCAAUGCAGCCAAGAUGUUCCUUUGGCUACAGGUACUCCGGUCGUAGUUGAGGGUAUUGUAGGAGUGCACUUGGGAUAUUAUGACCAAAGCUCGCCGCGACGAUCGUAAUUGCAGGACCACAGUUGUCCACUAUUUUAUAGGUUUUGUUUAUGGCUUGUGACGCUUGUGUCACUUGUUAUUGUAUAAGUCAUUCAUGUUGUUUAAUUAUUAUGUUGAUAAGAUUUAAACAUAUAGAUGUUAAAUGGCUCUGUAUUGUAAAUAACUUGUGAUAGAUGUAUAAGCUAUAUGCUUUCCGCUA